ensembl:snRNA U6 U6 spliceosomal RNA
GUGUUCAUUUUAGCAACAUAUAUACUAAAAUUGGAAUAACACGGAGAUUAGUAUAGCCUCUGUGCAAGGAUGACACAUAAACUCAUGAAGCAUUCCAUGUAAAA